rnacentral:rRNA from 1 species
UACGUAGGGUGCGAGCGUUAAUCGGAAUUACUGGGCGUAAAGCGCGUGUAGGCGGCAACGCAAGUCGGAUGUGAAAGCCCAUGGCUCAACCAUGGAAGUGCACCCGAAACUGCGUUGCUAGAGUCUCGGAGAGGAAGGUGGAAUGCUUGGUGUAGAGGUGAAAUUCGUAGAUAUCAAGCGGAACACCGGUGGCGAAGGCGGCCUUCUGGACGAGUACUGACGCUGAGACGCGAAAGCGUGGGUAGCAAACAGG